GCCCCCGUAGCUCAGUGGAUAGAGCAUCGGUUUCCGGAACCGUGUGCGCCAGUUCGAUUCUGGCCGGGGGUG
rnacentral:tRNA from 1 species